AUGUUUCCCCAUUAUGUUUCCUACAAUCUAAUUAGAAGACAAAUCAACCAGAACAAGGAAACAAUGAGCCAAAAUUUGGCUCCAUCAGUAAGCUGGAGUGAUAUAAUCCUUGCCUUAUUAGUAUCAAUUCUUUUAAUAGGCUCUGGAACAGCCAAAUCAAUUCUCCAGUCCAGUUUAUCAGAGGGCUGCACAAAAUUCUGUGUUGGUCUCUUGGAGUGGCUACACAACAUUGAGAAUUAAUGGCUUUGGGCAGCUGAAGCAGUGCUGGUGAAAAAAUUAGAAGAUGCAGCCUAAAGCAGCAUUUCACAUAUUUAUGGGGAAACUGUCAGAAAUCACAGAAAUACUUGAAUUUUAAAUAAUAGGUAAAGAAAAUCAGUCGAGGAAAGAUAAAGGCCCUUGAAUGGGAAGGAAAUUCAUUUAUGCUUGGGACUGUAGAAAAGUCAGAGCCAAACAAUGAAGGAAAGGGAAAUAUAAAGUCCUCUUUUCAAAACAUAGAAUAUUCCACUUUCUGAGAACUGAAGGAAAUAUUAUACUACAAAUAAUUCUGUAAAAAAAAAAUCCCUUCGAGAACUGAACUAUAUAAACAGCUAGCAUGUCUAUGGAGUUGUUAGUUACUAUUCUAGAGAAAAGGCUGUACAUACAUCUUCCAAAAUUAAAUCUUAUCUAUCUUCCCAUCCUAAUGAGCUUUUUUUUGGGUGGGCCUGCCAUAAAGCUGGAAGAUUUACAUGCUAAAAAUCCCUUUGGCCUGAAGAGUUUCCACCCAUUGUAGAGCCAGUCUAGGCAACUCUUCCCUUGCUCUGCAGCCUACAGGGCAUCAAGGGUGUAGCUGGAAAGAAAGUGGGUUUGCUUGUAUUACUUUCUCAUAUUAUUCCCAAACUGGUCUAUCACACUCUUGAGGCUCAUGUGAGUUUUCCUCAGUAUAUUCUGCUUAGACAGAAUAGUUUCUGUUCUUCACUUACACUCAGUGCCUCAGCUGUCCCCAGGAGAAAUUAGAUGCAGCCCUGAAUCUAGGCCAGAAAGUGUGCACAAAAUCUAACAAAGCUAAUGAAAGUUAACUUGCACAUGUCUGAGAACAGCAAUUGUUCCUACCAUUUAGAGGCCAUAUCCUGCUAUUGUUCCAUAUAUCAAACUCCUAUUGAAGUUUAUUCUAAAAAAUCUUGUACAAAAAAUCAUCUCCGGAUGUGAUAACAGCCAGCAGACAAAAGGUCCUCACAUGUUUUUUUACUGGAAUUCUGGUCCU
rnacentral:lncRNA from 1 species